GCGGUGGAGCAUGUGGUUUAAUUCGACGACAACGCGAAGAACCUUACCAGGGCUUGACAUCCCCUGACCGCGUAUGAAAGUACGUUUUCACCCUCGGGUGACAGGGAGACAGGUGGUGCAUGGUUGUCGUCAGCUCGUGUCGUGAGAUGUUGGGUUAAGUCCCGCAACGAGCGCAACCCCUACGUUUAGUUGCUAACGCGUGAAGGCGAGCACUCUAGACGAACUGCCGUUGACAAAACGGAGGAAGUGGGAUGACGUCAAAUCAUCAUGCCCCUUAUGUUCUGGGCUACACACGUGCUACAAUGGCCGGUACAGACGGACGCAAAGCCGCGAGGUGGAGCAAAUCCUAAAAAGCCGGUCUCAGUUCGGAUUGCAGGCUGCAAUUCGCCUGCAUGAAGUCGGAAUCGCUAGUAAUCGCAGGUCAGCAUACUGCGGUGAAUACGUUCCCGGGCCUU
rnacentral:rRNA from 1 species